rnacentral:rRNA from 1 species
UACGUAGGGUCCGAGCGUUGUCCGGAAUUACUGGGCGUAAAGAGCUCGUAGGUGGUUUGUCGCGUUGUCCGUGAAAACUCACAGCUCAACUGUGGGCGUGCGGCGAUACGGGCAGACUGGAGUACUGCAGGGGAGACUGGAAGUUCCUGGUGUAGCGGUGGAAUGCGCAGACUAUCAGGAGGAACACCGGUGGCGAAGGCGGGUCUCUGGGCAGUAACUGACGCUGGAGGAGCGAAAGCGUGGGGAGCGAACAGG